ACUCCUACGGGAGGCAGCAGUGGGGAAUAUUGCACAAUGGGCGCAAGCCUGAUGCAGCCAUGCCGCGUGUAUGAAGAAGGCCUUCGGGUUGUAAAGUACUUUCAGCGGGAGGAAGGGAGUAAAGUUAAUACCUUUGCUCAUUGACGUUACCCGCAGAAGAAGCACCGGCUAACUCCGUGCCAGCAGCCGCGGUAAUACGGAGGGUGCAAGCGUUAAUCGGAAUUACUGGGCGUAAAGCGCACGCAGGCGGUUUUGUUAAGUCAGAUGUGAAAUCCCCGGGGCUCAACCUGGGAACUGCAUCUGAUACUGGCAAGCUUGAGUCUCGUAGAGGGGGUAGAAUUCCAGGUGUAGCGGUGAAAUGCGUAGAGAUCUGGAGGAAUACCGGUGGCGAAGGCGGCCCCCUGGACGAAGACUGACGCUCAGGUGCGAAAGCGUGGGGAGCGAAAC
rnacentral:rRNA from 1 species